rnacentral:rRNA from 1 species
GAUGAACGCUGGCGGCGUGCCUAACACAUGCAAGUCGAACGAAGCGCCUUACCGGAUUCUUCGGAUGAAGGUCUGGUGACUGAGUGGCGGACGGGUGAGUAACGCGUGGGUAACCUGCCCUGUACAGGGGAUAACAGCUGGAAACGGCUGCUAAUACCGCAUAAGCGCACGAGGAGACAUCUCCUUGUGUGAAAAACUCCGGUGGUACAGGAUGGGCCCGCGUCUGAUUAGCUGGUUGGCAGGGUAACGGCCUACCAAGGCAACGAUCAGUAGCCGGUCUGAGAGGAUGAACGGCCACAUUGGAACUGAGACACGGUCCAAACUCCUACGGGAGGCAGCAGUGGGGAAUAUUGCACAAUGGGGGAAACCCUGAUGCAGCAACGCCGCGUGAGUGAAGAAGUAUUUCGGUAUGUAAAGCUCUAUCAGCAGGGAAGAUAAUGACGGUACCUGACUAAGAAGCUCCGGCUAAAUACGUG